rnacentral:lncRNA from 1 species
CAAACAUCAGUUGUCACUUGUUGGGACCAUUAACUAGACAAGUCCAAAACAAAACUCAGAACAGAGAGGACAUGUCGUGCAUUCUAUAAAUUAUGUGUUCUGAGAACCUAUUAAAGCUGACAGCGAAGGGGGCCUGCUAUUGAUUCAUUGCUGUUGCUGCUGAUGAUGAAAUAACAUUAGUAACAACUACCUUCUAUUUAGUAAAUAUGAUGUUCCAUGCAUUAUGCUAAGACAUGAUUUUUCGUCAAAUCUUGAAAACAAUUUUAUACAUGAAACAGAAGAAGGCACUUCUUUAAAGUCACACCUAAUAUUUUACAGAAGGACGGAAAUAAGAGAUGGGGUCUCACUAUAUUGUCCAUGCUUGACUCAAACUCCUGGACUCCAGGGGAUCCUCCUGCCUGAGCCUCCUGAGUAUCUGUGACUGAAGGUGCAUGCCGCUACACCCUGCUUGAGUUUUGUGCUUUUUAAAAUUAGCAUCCUGGGGUCAGGGGUGGUGGCUCAUACAUGUAAUCCCAGCACUUUGGGAGGCUGAGGUGGGCAAACCACGUGACUCCUUCUAGAAAUUAUUUAACAAGGCUGGACUCCAAAUCCAAACAGUUCCCUGUCUGAGGUGGGCAGCAGUGAAAUAUCUGAGGCUCCACCCCGUCUUUGCCCUAAGUCUCCCAGGUGCUUCUUUUGCCAAAAAAAAAAAAAAAAAAAAAAGCAUCUUCUGUGCUUACUACGCCUAGUUUCAGCACUUUGCCAGGGAUUUGCAUAGAGCUUUUAAGUAAAAGCUGAAGAUCCUCCUCUGUAGUCCCCUCCAUUCUAUGAUUUUCCUCUCAUACUCCAUACACUCUGGCAGCUUCAAAUUUCAUACUUUCACUUCUCAAGACAAGAAGACUACAGAUAGGCCAGGUGCAGUGGCUUACGCCUGUAAACCUAGCACUUUAGGAGGCCGAGACGGGUGGAUCCAUUGAGGUCAGGAGUUCAAGACCAGCCUGGCUGACAUGGCAAAACCCCGUCUCUACUAAAAAUACAAAAAUUAACCAGGCAUGGUGUGCCUGUAAUCCCAGCUACUCAGGAGGCUGAGGUAGGAGAAUUGCUUGAACUGGGGAGGCAGAGGUUGCAGUGAGCUGAGAUCAUACCAUUGCACUCCAGCCUCAGCCUGGGGGACAAG